rnacentral:rRNA from 1 species
AUUGAACGCUGGCGGCAAGCCUAACACAUGCAAGUCGAACGCGUGGCGGACGGGUGAGUAAUGUCUGGGAAACUGCCUGAUGGAGGGGGAUAACUACUGGAAACGGUAGCUAAUACCGCAUACCAUCGGAUGUGCCCAGAUGGGAUUAGUUAGGAGGUGGGGUAAAGGCUCACCUAGGCGACUAUCCCUAGCUGGUAUGCGAGGAUGACAAGCCACACUGGAAAUGAGACACGGUCCAGACUCCGACGGGAGGCAGCAGUGGGGAAGAGUGCACAAUGGGCGCAAGCCUGAUGCAGCCAUGCCGCGUGUAGGAAGAAGGCCUUCGGGUUGUAAAGUACUUUCAGCGGGGAGGCGUUACCCGCAGAAGAAGCACCGGCUAACUCCGUGCCAGCAGCCGCGGUAAUAC